rnacentral:rRNA from 1 species
AUAUUGGACAAUGGGCGCAAGCCUGAUCCAGCCCUGCUUCGUGAGUGAUGAAGGCCUUAGGGUUGUAAAGCUCUUUCAGUGGGGAAGAUAAUGUCGCUACCCACCCAAGAAUCCCCGGCUAACUUCGUUCCAGCACCCGCGGUAAUACGAAGGGGGCUAGCGUUGUUAGGAUUUACUGGGCGUAAAGCGCACGUAGGCGGAUUGGUCAGUUAGGGGUGAAAUCCCGGAGCUCAACUCCGGAACUGCCUUUAAUACUGCCAGUCUAGAGUCCGAGAGAGGUGAGUGGAACUCCUAGUGGAGAGGUGGAAUUAGUAGAUAUUAGGAAGAACACCAGUGGCGAAGGAGGCUCACUGGCUCGGUACUGACGCUGAGGUGCGAAAGCGUGGGGAGCAAACA